UCCGUUGUGGUGUAAUGGUUAGCAUCAGUCGCUCUCAUCAAGAACCGACUAGAUCGGGGUUCAAUUCCCCGCAACGGAA
rnacentral:tRNA from 1 species